ACACGAGCGGCGAACGGGUGAGUAACACGUGAGCAACCUACCCUCAACUUUGGGAUAAGCCUCGGAAACGGGGUCUAAUACCGGAUAAUACUGACCGUCUCAUGGUGGUUGGUUGAAAGUUCUGGCGGUUGGGGAUGGGCUCGCGGCCUAUCAGCUUGUUGGUGGGGUAAUGGCCUACCAAGGCGUCGACGGGUAGCCGGCCUGAGAGGGCGACCGGCCACACUGGGACUGAGACCGCCCCAUCCUUAUACGGGAGGCAGCAGUGGGGAAUAUUGCGCAAUGGACGAAAGUCUGACGCAGCAACGCCGCGUGAGGGAUGACGGCCUUCGGGUUGUAAACCUCUUUCAGCAGGGACGAAGCGAGAGUGACGGUACCUGCAGAAGAAGGACCGGCCAACUACGUGCCAGCAGCCGCGGUAAUACGUAGGGUCCGAGCGUUGUCCGGAAUUAUUGGGCGUAAAGGGCUCGUAGGCGGUUCGUCACGUCGGGAGUGAAAACUCGGGGCUUAACCCCGAGCCUGCUUCCGAUACGGGCAGACUAGAGGUAGGCAGGGGAGAGCGGAACUCCUGGUGUAGCGGUGGAAUGCGCAGAUAUCAGGAAGAACACCGGUGGCGAAGGC
rnacentral:rRNA from 1 species